ensembl:lncRNA
AUUUCCUGUGUCUGCUGUGAGUUGGGGAGCUUCGCCAUAGGAGAGUUUGGCCCGCAUAAAUGACCUGGGUUCUGUUUGACAGUGGGCAGUGCAGCCAGUGUCUUGGGUGCUGCCCAGGGUGUGCAGUGGGCGCCACAGAGGCGGCAGCAUGUUCCCUGUGGGCCGGUGGCUGAUCACCAAGGAAGUGCCGUUCGCCUGAGGGGGCAUCAGAGUCGCAGUGCACCCUCUGCGGGGGAGCCAGAAGGUGAGUACCCUGGUCCCUCACCUGCACAGGUGGGUGGACACACUUGUGCUCACGGUGGAAUUGAUGGUGAGGGCCUGCUGGGAAUGCUAGAGAGUGUUGAGGCUGCAGUGUCUGUGGGAAAAGUGAAUAACCCACAGCAGCAUUGAGUGUUAGGUGUGAGGAGUUCAUCUCUAAGGAAAAAUCAACAUUAGAGCCAAAUUGCAGGUUUUCUCUUCUUGUUGUUUGGAAUUUACAGAUUUUGGCCAGUAUUCUCUGACUGCUUUAGCGAGUUUCUGUGACUGCAUGUUCUGUGACAUGGAGAGAUGAUUCCUGGUCACUGGCAGUGACUGAGCAUGGAGGGGGUGCGGUGCCUCGCUGGCCUCAGUCGGGGUGAAUGACCAGCCACGUGUGUCGGGUUGUUUCAUCCAGAGCUGCAGCUGCCUAAGAUGCAUUUAAAUGUGGAGCUCCCAAGCUGGUCGCUUGUUAAUGCUGUUCCAAAAUGGUCAAAGCAAAUUUAUGCAGCCUUUUCCUUGGUGUGCUGAGGAAGAAUAAGGAAAGGAUGGCAAAUACCUGGCUCCUCUUAGUGGGUAACCCAGGGCCCACUGGGUUUGGACUGUAGUCUGCUUUCAGCAGAAGGAGGCAGAUUGGCUAGAAAGCCAGUGAACCUCAAGCUGGGGAGACAAGCGAGCCCUGGGGUCAGAGUCAACCAAUCCCAGUGUUGGGGGCCUGGGGUCCAUGCCCCAGGAGCUGGGCUGUGGACUGCGUGUGGCUCGGGCUGAAAACAUAAGUACAGCUCCACUUGGAGACUCUGCCAACACUCAGUCUCCUCAGCUUAGGGGUAGCUGCAUUUGAUGAGGUUUUGGGGUUCUUCCUGUGUGGUUGAAUCAAUGAAGGGCAGAGACACGGCCACAAUCCAUCCCUGGCCUUGCCUUCUAAAGCAUCGGGCUCUGCGCCUGGUGUUCCCAAGGACACAGAGAGAUGUGUCUCCCAGCCAGGGCCUGGUGGCUGUCUCUGGACACAUGGGACGCCCUCCUCUGGGGUCCGUGAUGGCCUGCACCUGUCUAGUGUGCUCUGGACACUUGGAGAGUUUGUUAUUUCCUGUCGCUGUGGCUUUCCGUUGUUGUCUGCUCUGGCUUUGUGCGUGGCUGUGCACUCUUGUUGGAAGCUCCUAGGGAGCUGUGUGUGGGGUCUCCAGAGCAGGGGGUGAGCACAAGCCCAUGCUUUCAUCUGCGUGUUUCUAAUGGCCCAGCUCUGUCCUCUGAACCGGCUGUGUUGUGUGUCUGCCACCGCUGCUGCGUGCUCCCUGCCACUGUCCCCCAGCAUGGGGCUGGCUGGGUGAGGCCUCCGUGGAGGGGAUAGACCCCACCGUAUUCCUGGAGUGUGGACGCUGCUGUGUCCGUGACCGUGACCGUGACCAUCCCGGGUGGCAGACAG